GACCCAGACAUGAGUCAAGUCGGAAGCCUCGCGUUACUCGUUGGACCCGACCUGGUUGCCAUCCCUGAAUUCCAUAGGAUCAUCUAUCAUUUUUCCUGCUGACAUUUCUCAUCUACGACUACAUAUAUAUUUAGUCCCCCCGCGCCAUGAUAAUUGCCUGUUGGGGAUUGAUGCCCCGGUACAUUUUUUUAGAGUUUCAAAAAAAGAUUAAUACAUUUGGUAGACUUCGAAAUAAGAUCAAUGUGUAGAUUCCAUGGAUUCCGAUGGCACAAACAUAUCGUGUUUUGAAACCAUUCAGCAAACAUUUCAAUGGAGACAGAUAAGAUGUGAAAAAUAUUUAGGAAUUUUAUAAUGUCCCAAAAGUGACUAUAUUUUGAUUAAAUCUUGGGAAAAUGACCUACGUCAAACAUUAUGUACAUAGGUGUCUAAUAAUUUUACUUAUACCAUUAAUAUGUUAAUCUUUUAUUUUGUUUUUGCAGCUACUCCCUAAGAGAAUGCAUGGCAAUAUUAACAAAAAUGCCCUUAUAGUAAAAAAUUUACUCUUUCUAAAAUAUUUCUUUUAGAAGCUGAGGAUGAUUAGCAUGUGGACUGCCAAACCGGCCUUAUUUAUAUAUUUUCUUUAGGACACGGUUAGCAUGCAGCCAAGCCCGCAUAUGUAGAAAUGUGGGUUUGGUGAUAAAUAUAUUUUUUUAAGCAUAAUUUGAUCCUAAUUUUUAGAGAAUGUAUAAUCUUUAACAUGGAGAUCUAUAUUAAAAAAAAAGUUGAAAAUUAAAAAUAAUAAGUAUAGUAAAAAAACAUUUGGACUGUUAAUUACAAUUGUUUUUAAAUAGAUUACAUAGAUGCUUUAUACCUUUGAACGGCAUAUUAUAGAAAUGCAUCCAAACCGCAUAAAAUAAUUAUUCUUAUAUUUAGAGGCUGAGGCUUGUCGGCACUCUUUCUAAAUUUUUUUCAGAGGCCAAUGGCAUUUUUGUCCCGAGCAGCCUAAAAUAUAUUAUGGGAGGGUCUUGCGGGAAAAGUAGUGAUACGUAAAUUGAAUAGAAAAAUAUCAAAACGGUAUGCAGAGGUGUUUAUAUUAUUUUCGGAAGAAGUUUCUAUAAGGCCUAGGUUCUCUAAAAACAAAACAAAGCUUCACCUCAAAUUCUUGUCUAGAAAGCACUUUUGGUAAUAGAAAUCUCCAUGAUGGCUCUAAAAUCAGUUUCCAACACUAACAAUAAAUUUUCAAACUAAAAAAAUGGUAUAGAUUUUACGGAUACAUGAACACUUACUUUUAAGACAAACUAAACGGUCCAGAUAAUUUAUCACAAUAUACAUUUUUUUAGAGCUUGAUAUCCUAAUUCUUUUUCACAACGUAAUGUUCAAGCCGAGAUCAUCGUUGUAAAGGUUUUCCAAGCCAUUUUCAAUGAGAUGUCAUGUGUAGCUUACUUAUUUUUGUAGGAGGCCCAUCAAACCAUUUUCCAUAAUUUUCCUGAAAAUAUUUGCCUAUUAGAUUACGUGGACCCUUCUUUCAAAUAUUCGAUAUAAUUAUUUGGACAUAAUUAGGGGCAUUUCUUUGAUUUUAUAAUCAAGAAAUGUAUGAUAUUAAAUUAUUAGUUAAUAUUGUGGGCUUGUACACAUAUUGGAUCAUCAUCAUCAACGAUUCCAUCUGCAAAUACACCUGGAAAUAGAAUAAUAGGCCCCAAAAUGAUUGUGGUGGUGGCACCCACCAUUAGAUUCCAAAUGCAUAGGCAUGUGAAUGGUCACUAAUCUCGUGGUGGAGCAUGGUGCAUGGCCUAUUAAAUUUAUGAGACAUACAUGAGCAAGACAUGUGAUGCAUGACCUAUUAAAUUUAUGAGACAUACAUGAAAAAGACAUGUGAUGUAUGAUAGUUGUCCAAUCUAUCAAGCAAUUUAAAGGUUUAAAUUAAAAAGAAAAAAAAAUGCUUUUCCUUGGGAAGGUAAGUAAGGAUCAAACUUUAUGGCAUAAGCUAGCUGUAAACACUAUUUCCUAAUUUGAUAGCACUAUUUGACAAGAAGCGUUGGGCAAUGGAGGACUCACUUGCACAAAUGCAUUCAACACAUAGGCUUUUAAAUUUUGGAAAUGUUCCCAUGGAACCCCACCCACAUAUUUAGUAUAUGUGACCCUGAUCUAAGCCAUCAGAUCUGAGUAGAUGGCUGAGAUGGUUUAAGUCACAAUGUCACAAGUUAGCUCUUAACUGUUAGAUCUUGAUCAACGGCUUAAAGUUUUUUACUUUUUAUUUUUUAUUUUUAUUCUCUAAAUCAUUUUAAAUCAAAAGUUAGGGCAUCUAUAGAUCUGACAAGGGUGCACAUGACAAAAAUAAUAAAAAAAUAUUUUCGGUGAUAAAAAAUUAUCAGAAUACCCAUGAAAAAUUUCAAAGGCAUUUUGGUUAUUUAUUUUUAUGAAAAAUAUUUAUUUUUAUGAGAAAUAUUUAUUUUUAUUUAUUUUUAGAUUCACCCUAACUUUAGAAUGGGACUCCCAAAAUUUCAUGCAAAAUGAUUUUGUAGAAAACAAAUGAAACAUAUUGUAUUUAACAUGACAUUGUGGUAUGAACAAUCAUAUCAUAGCUUUUCGAUUCAGAUCGAAUGGCUAAGUAGUGGGGUCACAUAUAACUUAUAUGUUGUUAGGGUCACAUAGAAAGUCCACCUUUAGAUUUUGGUUUUGUUACGGUGGUUUUACAUAUUGCAUAUUUAUUUAGUGCACUCAACAUUAACUUGACGCUCGUUAGUCGUUACCCUUACUUUGUAAUAAAACAUAUUUAGGGUAAUGAUAUAUUUUGUUAUUAGGAGAGGCAUAAUAGAUAUGCCUUUAAGAAACUAAAAAAAUUCUAUUAGUGGUUAAAAGGUAAUUAAUGCUACAUGUGAUUGAGUCAAGCUACAUAGUUAAUAAAUAUUUUUCUUUCUAUCAAAAAAUUAAAUUUUGUUUUUAAUUAAUUACUUAAAAUAUCCCUAAAUAAAAAAUUUAUUACAUUAUGGGGGUAAGAGUAUUACGUGUCCAAAAAUAUUAAUUAUAUUAAAGAAAUACUCAAAGCUCUAUAACAAAACCCUUUUAAUUAUUGAUAAUGUGUUGAUAGAUUGAGGCAUUUGAAACGGCGGUAUUACCGAGUCAGGGUAGAACCUUUAGUUCGGAAUGCUUACAAUCGCGAGACUAGUCAACCCAAACUGCCCAAGUCAGUAUAGUAAACCAAACUUUUUCUUCGUGUUACAAAGAUUCGUCUUUUUUUUUGGCCCAACGUUUUAUAAAUUGUUGGCACAUUUUAUGCGGCUGACUAUGGGCCAGAUGACUUGGCAUAGCCAACUCAGCCCAAUCCUAAGAAAACAACGGCCAAGGCUAGAAUAUUUGGCCCAUGGGCUGGGCCAGCUGGGUUAAAGAGCUGAGCCCCAGCUGGCUAGGCACGGGCCAAGGGCUAUAGUCCUAUGGCAAGCCUAACCCUCAUUUUUCAUAUAAUUAUAUGUUUUUUAUUUCCACUAGGCACGGCCCUCUUUGGGCCACGACUAGCCCUAAUCCAAGGCCCUUUCGGCCCUGUCUAGGCAAUGGCUGGAAUAUUUGACUAGUCCUGGCCUCGUCAUGACCCAAUCGUUGCCCGCCUAUUAAUCCCAUAUUCAAGCCUUGUACUGCUUUUACAAGAUCCAGAAGAUCUAGAGGUAUUUUGUAUUCAAUAGCCUAUCUUUUUUAAAUCGAAAGACUCGAUAAUUGGGGAUUUUCAUUCCUACCAUACUUGAGGUUGUUCUACACCCGGCUUGUUCAUUUUCCAAUUGAUUUGUGUAGAGAUUUUCUUCUUCUUUUUUCCUUACUUGUUUUGUGUAUUUUUUUUAAAAAAGUUUACAAAGAGACACAAUCACUCUUAAUAGAUUUCAAAUUGGAUGGUUGUAAGAGUAUCAUUGCAAAGACUCAAAAUUCAAUAAAAAAUAUUUCGGACUUCGUGAGUAGCCCAAGCCAUCCAAUUUGAUAUCCAAUAAAUACGAGUGAUUGUGACCUUCUUGCCAUAAAGAUAAAUGAUCUCGUUGUAUACAGUCUCAUUUUAUUAAUAGAUAAUAACAUUCUUUUCAAAACAAAGUAUACUUGGAAGAAUUUAGACCUCAGUCUAGCUAGAUAUAGCUUAUAUAUACUGAUCAACAAUAAGAUCAUGCAAAAUUUCUUUGAUUUCAACAUGUGCUUAAAAAAUAUGUACUUUUCUUCUUUAAGACUGAGAAAAUGUUAGUUUUUUAUUUAAGCAUUGUUUUUCUAAUUAGAAUAUAUUUGCAUCAAUAUUAGUUGCAAAUCUAUUUAUUCUUACUUUUGAUAAUUUUUAAAUUUUAAGCAUUAUUUGGUUAUUUUUUAAGUCCAUUUACUAUAAACCAAAUAAAUUAUAUUUCUAUUUAUGUGGCAACUAGUUUGGAUUAAAAAAUUUUCCUCAAGACUAUAUUUUUGGGUAUUUUGAUGCUUUCAUAAAAGGAAAUUUGUUUCAUAUGGGCUGGAUUGUUUCAUGUGGGCUGGCCGCAUAAAAAUCAUGUCUAUCAUAAAAAGUCGUGGUAAAGUUUUAUGUUGACUAUCUACCUGAUAAACCCUCCUUCUUUACCUGGGCUUUGGACCGGCCUGAUUAGCAAGCUGGCCAAAGCUUGGACCUAAAUACAAAUAAUUUUUAGAAUUUUGCUCCACAUACGUUAGGAAGAGAGAGGGAGAGACUCUUCGGCAUAAAAUAUUGUAAUGAAAAAAGUUUAUAUAGGAUUGUUUUAUUGCAAUUGGCAGGGAAAUAAUGAUAUUGCCACAGGUGUUUAUGUCCAAUGUUCACACUUCCCCCAUAAUAAGGGGUGAAAAUAAGAUUGGGGUGCAACUAUUAGGAUGUCCGUACGGGGCCUUAAUCACUAAGCUUAACCCCUUCACUCGUUUCAUCUUUGCUUGAGAUGGCUCAAGGCGAUUUUUUCUUUUCUUUUCUUUUCUUUUUUUGUUGAUUAUUUUGUUGACAAACCGGGAUAACCAAAAUCUUUCUUAAUGUGGUAGGCGUUCCACAAUAAUAAAUCCAACACCAAACAAAAUACCUAAGAACGAUAAUGUAUGUAAUAUAUUUGAGAAAUAUAAAAACAAGAACAACAAGUAAAAUGAGAAAUUACCAAACCACAACGCAAGUAAAAGUAAAAUAUACACACGAAUUUACAUGGUUCACCCAAAAUGGGCUGCAUCUACAAACACGGAACAAUGAUGCAUUCACUAUCAAUAGAAAAAACUUACAAGUUUGGGGUUUUGUAGAGAUUACCUCAUACAAUGAAAAAAAAACUCAAAUAAAUAUUUUCUAUCACAAUACCACCAUCAAUCAACUCAUCUUUUCAUCACCAUCGACAACACCAUCGCCGCAAAGAAAUUCUAAUAGAAAACCGGCCCAAUAAAAGGGCAUAAUAGUGCUAGAAUUUGUGUAAGAAAUUUUCAAUUUCUACCUCUCAAAACUUCUCUACAUUUUUCUAUGUUUUCUCUACGUAAAACAGGCCUUUAUAAAAGCCCAUUUUUUUUAGAAUGAAUAUACCCUCAUGAAAGAGGAAUGCCAUGUGGGAGUGAUUUUUGCAUCGCUUCUCAACAUAAUUUAACUCAAGGCAAUGAUUAGAGAAUCACUUAACCCAUCUCAUAUAGAAUCACUUGAGUCGACUCAAGACCAAUGGGGGGGAGGGGGGGGGGAGGGGGGGUUUGGCUGAGUUGAAGCUCCUCUUGCAAAACAAGGAAAUUGGGCAAGUCACCCUUUUCUAAAUCUUUUUAUGCUUCACAAAAUUGGAAAUUUAAAAUUUUAAUUUUUCCUCAUUUCUUCACCAAAUCCUGUCAAAUUUGCCAGUGGCCUACAAUAACUUUAAAAUGAUUUUAGGAUCAAAUAGAUUUUUAGCGACAUUGAAAGGCAAAUACUUACCAUUUUGUAGCUCAAAACCCUCAAUAUAAAUUGGAAACCUCUAAAAAUAUGCAAUACAAAUACUUUGAUCAAGAACCUUAUUGAAAGAAAUCUAAAGUCAAAAGUGCUAGCUUUUAUUUUUCUAAAAAUGCUCGGAUUUUCAAAAAGAGCUCUUACAUUUCUUUUCCAUUUUUGGAUUGAUUUUGGGGAGAGUGUUAUAUUCAGUCUACAAUAUAUAUUGUAUGAUUGGAAAUGAUAUUUGGGAAGAUCACUUAUUUUCCAGUAGAGAAGUAUUCUUUUCAGAAAAAUCCAUUUUUGUUCUUCUUAAGCCAAUUUGAAAUUUGUUGGUUUUAGGCUGGAUUUUUCUUCAAAUCCAACCCAAAAAAUACAGAUUGAAUUUAUUUUCAAAUCCAACAUAAAACUGGUGGAUUUGCUAUUAAAUCCAAAAAAAAGCCUUUGUUUUUUGAAAGAAAAAGUUGUUUUUUUGGCUGAUUGAAAUUUGGCAGAUUUUGGUGGACUAGUAUUCAAAUCCAACCCCCGCUUUUUUUAAAAAAAAAAAGAAAAAAAGAUUCAAUAUAUUCUUCUUUAUUUAUUAUCAGUUUUAUGAAUUUAUCACUUUUUAUUGAUCUAUCUUAUUUCUAUUUGUCUUUUUUUUUUUUCUUCCUUCCCAAUCUGACUGAAUUGCCUAGACUAACGGGUCACUGAUUCGACCUACUAGUCUGUGUUUUUUAAUAUUGACACGAGGCAACCUAAAGGUAUAUGGUCAUUUUGAUUUCCUUCACAUUUUCAUCCAAAAUGUUCAUGGCGAAAAAUAGAAAAUAAAAAUUAAGAAAUCAAUUACAACUUGUGAUUGAACCAAAAGAGAAUAUAUAUGUGAGCAAACUAUAUUUCUCAGUAUUUUUCAAUAUAUAGAAUUAUGUACAUGGCCCCAACAUAUAGGGUUACAAACUGUGUGAAUGUACCUUUCUGAUGUAGGUACACGGUUAUAGACUACGUAAACCUUCCUAAUGUGGGUACAUAGAAAAGGAAAGAAGAUUUUAUAUAAGAAAUACAUAUAAGUUUCUAUUGAUUCACACUCCCUCCCAUCCCAAACUUGAUAUGGUUUGGUUGAGAUCAUGGAGAGUUUGAAGAGAAACUGAGAGUGUUGAACUCCAGUAUGUGUUUUGGUGAAGAAGUCAGCUAGCUAUUCAGAGAAGGUAAUACGGGAAAGAAAAAUUGUGUUUGCCAAAAAUUCUUGCCAGACAAGUUGACAAUUAACUUCAAUAUACUUGGUGUGUUCAUAGAACUCUGGAUUUUUUAAAAUGUAGAUGGUCCUCUUGUUGUUGCAAUAAAGUAGCAGUGCUCUUAUUGUCGCAGUAAAGUGGUGUGGGAGUAGCAACGAUAAUACGCCUGUCCACAGGUAACCAUUAAAGCCAAACAAUUUUAUUUGUAAUUUGUGUCAUAGCCCUAUAUUUAGAUUGGGCAAUAUGUUUGUGUUUCUUACUUUUCCAAGAUAAGAAAGAGUCACCUAGGUAAAUGCAAAAUCAUAUAGUUGAUUUGCGAUCACUUGGGUUCCCUACAAAAUCCGAGUCUGUGUAUGCCUGAAGUUCAAGUGAGGAAGAAGAAGAGAAACACAAAACCUGGUAUCGAGUAUCCCUAACAUAAUGAAUCCUAUAUAAGACUACAGCUAAGUGGACGGACCAAGGGGCACUCAAAAGUUGGUAACUAGAUGUACAACAAUAAGAAGUUGGAUCUAGGAGUAGUUCACCAUCUGUUGCUAGAAGUUUGACAUUCAAUUCAAUGGGAGUGUCAACUCUCUUAGUAUCAUUCAUAUGGUGAGCUUGGGAGACGAAUUCUUAGGCAUACUUCGCUGAGAUAACGGAUAGCCACGCAAGAAUAAGCAACUUCUAAGCCAAAAAAGUAGCACAAGAACCCCAAAUCUUUCAAUUCAAAUAUUUGAUUGAGUUUUUGUUUGAUUUUAUGAAUAAUGCUCUGAACAUCAACGGAUGAAUCAUGAUAGCUCUAUCGAAGUCUUGCUAACACGACUGCAUUACAAUUUCUUUCAAACCAAGCAUGGGGUGUUUGUUUGGGUUCAUACAGGGCCCAUCGAAGCCCACAUACCCUAUUAUAAGAAUCUGUAACUCCGGAAGGUAACCUUAUAUAUACUUCCUCGUCAAGGUCACCAUUAAGAAAUGCAUUUUUUACAUCUAACUGGUCUAAAGGUUAUUGUCGCAUAGAUGCAACAUAAAUAAGUGUCUGAACAGUUGUCAUUUGGGUCACUAGGGCAAAAUUUUCUGAAAAGUCAAUUCCAUAUUAUUGAUUGUAUCAUUGUGGUACUAAGCGAGCUUUACAUUUUUCAAUGCUUUCAUCUGCUUUUGUUUCGAUUUUGAAGACUCAUCAACAACUGAUGGCAUUCUCUCCUUUUGGAAGAGGGAUAAGGUCCCAAGCAUGCAUUCAAUCAAGAGUAUUUAGUUCUUCUGCCAUUGUAUGUUGCCAUUCCGUUUGAUUAACAACUUCUUUCUAGGUCUGUGCCUCAUAAUAAGAGUGAAUGGAGGCAAGAAAUACUCGAUAUCCAAGUAAGAAGGUCUCAUAAUUAGAAAAUUGAGAAGGCUGAAUAGAAACAUGAGCACUAUGGCGACAAUAGGUGUACGUGCAGGAUCAAUAGAUGCGGGUGCGUGAAUAAAAUUUGUCGCAGUAAUUAAAUGAUCUUCCUUCUGGCAAUAGGUUUAAGAGGUAAAGUCAUUUGACUGAGGAGCAGAAGGUAAUGGAUCAGCAUCAGAAAAAGAGAUUAGAAAAGAAAAAUCAGAGGAAGUGUUGGUAAUAGUGGAUGUUGAGUAAAAACAUAUGUGUUAAAAAAGUACAACAUGUCUGGAUCCUUGAAGUCUCUUGGUUAAUGGAUCAUAGCACCUAUACCCUUUUUGAGAAUUAAGAUACCCCACAAGACAACAUUUCACAGCUUCGACAGAUAUUUGUCCCUCUCAGAUGUAGGCAAUAAGACAAAAUAAGCACAAUAAAAAAUACAAAAAAUAGAGUAAUCAGGUGGAUGAGAGAAUAAGUGCUCAAAAGGGGAGUACCCAAAUAAAAUCGAGGAAGACAUAAUGUUUAUCAAGUGAACAACCAUGCGAACUGCUUCGGCCCAAAAAGACUUAAGAACAAGGUUAGACAAAGGAAGAGCCCUUAUGGUUUUUAAAAUAUGAUUAUUUUGCGUUCAAUGACUCCAUUUUGUUGAGGAAUAUAAGGGAAAGAGUUUUUAAGUUGAAUAUUUCUAUCCAUGAACAUCUCUAUCCAUGAACAUCUCACUAAAAUAAUCCCCACCAGAAUUUGAGCGCAAAAUUUUAAUUUUCUACAAUAAUCCCCACCAGAAUUUGAGCGCAAAAUUUUAAUUUUUGUAGAAAAUUGAGUUUCAAUAUGGGAGUAAAAUUUGGUAAAAUUUUCAAGAAGUUCAGUGCCACUAUUCAUAAAAAACACCCACGUAUACCUAGUGUGAUCAUCAAUAUAAGUUACAAAAUACCAUGCACCACCUUUUGAAGAAAUAGGAGCAGCCCAUACAUUAGUGUGCCUAAGAUCAAACUUUGCAAUAGAAAUUGAAUUACUGUAACUAAAUGACAAAACAUGAGAUUUUGCAAGCUUAUAAGGUUCACCAUGUUUGACCUCAACAAGCACUUUAUCAGUGAUAGAACCCAGAGUACCACAAGACAAUAAAACUUGUAACCUAAAAGCAUAAACACAAUUAAGACGUUGGUGCCAUAAAAUAAUAGUAUCUACAGUUGAUACGGCACUGUCAAAGGGAGUUGGAGUCAUAUGACAAUAGUCUAGAGUGUAUAUAUCACCAAUUUUAUGCCUAGCCCCAAUCAAUUUCCCUGACCGGCGAUCCUGCACAUAACAACUAGAGGGAGAAAAGAGAACAUCACAAUUGAAAUGUGUAAUUUGACCAACAGAAAGUAGAUUCAUAGUGAUAGAUGGAACAUAAUAAACACUAGAAAUUUACAAUUUACCAUAGGGAUCAAAAGUAGUAGUAAUAGAGGCAACUUUAGAAACUUUUAUAAUGGCAGCAUCAGCAGUUCGAUUAGUGUAAGGAAAAUGUUUACAAUCAACUAGUAAAGACACAUUAGCAAUCAUGUGUCGAGAGGUACCUAUGUCUAUCGACCAAGAAGCUGAAAUAUUGUUACUUGCAAUGGAUGGGCUAGAUUCAGAAGGAAGUCGUGAUUGAGAAAGUAUAAACUGUAACUACUCAACUGUAAGAGUUACUGAAGGAGGAGCAGCAACAACAUGCCUGACAGCAUGAUCAGAAAUGUGUUCUUUCACAGUGACUCAAUAGCAACUGCAACAACAUAUUUGUUCUUAUUCUUUGGGCAUGUAAAUUUCAUGUACCCAAGCUAUUUAUAGUAAUUGCACCUAACAGAAGACAUUUCUUGACAGGGUAUAUAAAAAGAACUUUGUUUAAGGUUUUUGUAUUCACAAUUUCGAGUUGCAGCAAAAGUGGUUUCUCCCAUCGAAAGAGUACUUAGAGAUUUAAUUUUACUCUUAUGUAAUCAACUCCGAAAGAACCCGAGUGAGAGUGGACAGAGUGGCUCUGUGCAAUAUGACACUCAUGGUACUAUCAAAUUCCGGCCUAAGUGCCAUCAGGAAUUCUAUAACUCUGAACUCAUUUUGUGAUUUUUCGAUAAUCUUCAUAUUUGGCCCAUCAAUGAUUUCAGGUUUCCAUCCCAAAGAACCUUCAUACAAGAAUGAAAGUCUUGAAUGGACCGAUCACUUUGUCAAAGUGAACGAAAUUCCUACACUAAUUGGUACUUUCUUACUCAAUUAGUUUGAUUAUAGAUUUCUUUCAGAAAAACCCAAACCUCUCGAACAUUAUUAAAAUUAGUCAAAUUGACCCCAAUAUUAUUUUCCAUAUACCUCAUGAGCCAGGCUAUCAUUCUACUAUUAAUGAUUCCCCAUUCAGCUAACUUGUUUGGAUCAUGUGGUUUCGUUAUUUUUCUAUCUUUAUAUUUUAAGAAUCCUUUACUAUGAAUCACAUUUUUUUAUAAAGGCAGCUCAAAAAAUGUAGUUAUUUUCAUUGAGCUUAACCGAUACAAGUAAAAAAGAUUCAGACUUUUCCAUUUAGGCAAGCUAGAACUACAAACUUCAAAUGCAAUAUCAAAGAAACAUAAUUGACUUCAAGGAGCACAGUGGACCAUCAAGACCAACCCUCUCACUUUCCUUUUAAAUUUGUAUGUCUUUUUCAAAUGGACAAUACACCUUUAUACCUUUAAGUGAGAGAAAAGAGGGAAAGGAAAAUAAAAAGCCCCAACAAAGACGUCUUGGGGUUUUCUUUUUCUUUUGCAAAUAAAGGGGAAAAGCACAAGAGAACUUUGGGUUUGUUUUUCUAUUGCAAACAAAAGGGCAAAGCAUAGGAGAAUAAAGGAGAAAUAGGAACAAGAAGCUAAGGGGAGAGAGAGAGAGGCUGAUGUUUUUCGGUUUUCCACGAUAGGGAGAAAACGCAGAAGAAAGGAAACACAGUAGAAUAGAGAAGCCAGAUAAAAAAAGGAAGCGAGAGGUAGAGAAAGAGAUUAUAUUUGGGUUUUCUACUUGGUUUUAUUUAGAUGACUGAAAAUCAGGUGCAAGAGAGCUCUGAAUGGGAUUUUCCAGCGGUUCUAGGAUGACACACAAAAGGUAAAGGUGAAAUUGAUGGGUUAAGCCAGAGCUAUAACUUAACCACUUAUUUCGCUAGAAAAAACGAGGUCCUCGGAAAAAUAUUUGCAGCAGUUUGCCGGAAUUAGAGAAGACGCUGGAAAACAAGCGUUUGAUUUCUUUGCUAGAUUUUGCAACAGAAGCAGCCCUAGAUCAAAAGACUCCUCCCAAAACAAAUGUUGCUUUUUCUAACCGAGCAAGAUCAAACGUAGACCAAAACCGUACUUUGAAACCAUGUGAGCAAAUUGUAUUUCUCAAUAUUUAUAUAGAAUUGUGUACAAUGCCCCAACUUAUAAGGUUAUAAACCGUGUGUGAAUGGAUGUUCCUAAUGUGGGUACACAGUAACGAGCUAUAUAAGAAACAUAUGAUUGAAUGUACCUUCUUAAUGUGGGUAUAUAAAAAAUAAAAUAAGAUAUUAUACAUGAUGGGAAAGUAUAUAAUGAGAUUAUUUAUCUUUGGUACAAAGUGGUCACAAUUAAUUUUGAUAAUUGGAUAUGAAAUUGGGUGGAUGUAUUUAUUUCAUUGACCAUAAUGAAAGUUAAAAAAAAACAUUUUCGAACUUUGUGACACUCUCAAGCUAUCAGAUCUCACAUCUGAUGGUUACAAAUAAUUGUGUUCUCCAUGUGUCAAAAGUAAUUGGUCUCAUUGUAUACAAUCCCAUAUAAAAAAUACAUACGGGUUUCUAUUAAUUCACAAUAUACAGGGAUAAGGUGUUUAUGAGCUAGUGACCUCAUCUAUUAAAAUGAGUCCUCUCUCAAAAAUCUAUUUUAGAGAUGGACUUUGGAAUUAAAUUUUAGAGAACAAAAAUCUCAAAGACAUUGGGUUUAUAGAAAAUAAAUAAAUAAAGUCUUAUAUCUUUUAAUUUUAACACUAUCAAUUUUAAACUUUGUUGGGACCAUCAGUUUGUUUGUGACAUCCAUCUACAAAGUGGAUGUUUAAUGUGCCAAGGGACUGUUUUAGAAGUGUGUCCCCUCGUCCACUAACUAAUUUUCUAUACAUCAUUAGGUGUGGUGUAUGGAAAACUUUCUAUAUACCAUAGGCAUAAGGAAAUUAUGUAUGCCACUCUUUCCAAACCAUCCGAUUCGAAUGGAUGGCUAGGUUAACUUUAGACAUGCUGUCAUGAGUCAUUAAUCGUGUAAUCUAGAUUUGACGUAUCAAAAUAUUUAUUUUUUUAAAAAAAACGAAUUCUACAUCAUAUGAACGUGAAAUUUGUUGCAUGUCAUCAUCUCUAUGGGGUGCACCAAAAAAAAUAAAUAAAAGAAAUAUUUAUAAAAAAUGACCAAACUACCCCUAAAACUUUUAGUGAUCAUUUUAUUUUAUCAAGAAUAUUUAUUUUUUAUUUGUUAUUUCUUUGUAGGUACGAGUUUAGGAGAGGAUUGGACUGCCCAAUUUUUGUGUGAAUAUUAUUUUUUAAAAAAAUAAAAAUAAAAGUAUAAUUGGGCGUGACAUUAUAAUUGGGUUUACCCAACCGUCUACUGAGAUAAGACAAUUUAGAAAGGUGUAACCUGUAUAAAUUCCUUGUACCAACUUGUAUAUAGAAAGCUUUCCCCGUAUAAUAUGGUCAUUUAUCACAAGAGAGAACAAUUGCUUCCACCCAUUUGCGUGUGAGAGGUAUAAAAUUCACAAAGUACAGUUUGGCCCUUUAUCACACAUCCUUGACAUGAGGCAAGCACGUACCGUGGUCUACGUUGUAGAGGUGAAUGGUCUUGCAGUAAAAGCCAAAUCCGGAAGGCACAAGUAAUUUUCAACCAAUGGGAAUCUGGAACACACGAGUGCGUCCCAUACGGCACAUGCCCGAUCUGCCCGAGUCCCAGUGAGUUGGCUCAAAUAGGGCCAAGUACACCAGCAGUUAAAAAAAGUUCAAAAAAAUUUAAAAGUAUAAAAAUAAAAAAUAUAUAUUUAAAGUAAGAUCAAGCAAAACAUAUCACUUAAAAAAGAUGCGGUUGGUAUAGAGUCGAGGCUCUAAACAAUCAAAGUAAAGCGUACCUUCAAAUAGUAUUGAAAAAUAUGGUUUCAAUACGGAAAAUCUUUGUGACAGCCUUAAAAUAUAUUUCUAUCUUUAAUUAUAAAAUUUUAAGUUUAAAAAAUAGUGUAGAUCGAGCAGAUCUAUGAAAACUUGGAAAUCUUUGAAAAUUGACAGUCCAAAUAUGCGUUAAAAGACACACGAUUUUCAAAACUUGAAAUCCAUUUUUUUGCUAAUGUCCAUGCAUCUUGAAGCAGAGAUGAUCAAUUUUAGGAUAUUUGGGCAUCAAAACGACCUAUUCUAAUGAAAUUUUUUAGGUGGGCUCUAAGUUGAUUGUUUAGAGCCUCGGCUCUAUAUAAGCUUUUUCCUAAAAAUAAAGUAGUAAAAAAAUAUAUUUUAAAAAACCAAUUAGUGAUUGGGGGUAUUUUUCAUAAGAAAAAAGUUUAUAUAAUGGUGGGACCCUAAACAAUCAAAUUAAGGUGCAUCUCAAAAAUUCAUUAGAAAAUGUUUCGCUGUUGGAAAACCCUCAGUUUGAUUAUCCAGACCUGAAGAUGUAUGAAUGUGAGAAAAAAUAAAUUUUAAGUCUUAGAAAUAGUGCAUAUUGUAAUUUAUUAUCCAGACUCUCAAUUUUCAAGAUUUUCAAGUGUUCCUAGACCUGUUCGGUCUGCACUAUUUUUUAAAUUUAAAUUUUAUAAUUAAAGAUAAAAAUAAAUUUUAGGCCAUCAUAAAGAUUUUUUAUACUGAAACAACAUAUUUCGGCAUUAUUUGAGCCCUGCUUUGAUUGUUUAAGGCCUCGGCCUUAUGCAAACCGCACCCUUUUUAAAAUAAUCCAAAAAAAAAUAGGAAAAUGCAAAUAUAAUUAUUUAUAGCCAAAACACCUUCCGAUCUUUCCCAAAAUAAUAGAAAACAUAAAAAAAUGAUUGUUUGCAAAGAGGCUUUUUUUUUUUUUUUUUUUUGUACAAUGAGGUCACAGCUACUUACAACCAUAUGAUGUGAGUGUCAUAGAUUUCGAGAAUUUUUUUUUUUAAGUUUGAGCUUGGUCAAUAGAAUAAAUGAUGCCAUCUAAUUUCACAUGCAAUGGUCAAGAUUAAUUGUGAUCAUCUUGUACCAAAGAUAAAUGAUCUCAUUAUAUACUUUUUUUAAAAAACAAUACUCAAGAUUUUGUGACUCACCUCAAGCCAUCAAAUUUGACCUUUAAUAAAUAGAAAUGAUACGAUUUUUAUGUAACAAAAAUAAUAAUCUUUUAAAAAACAAUCCAAAACAAUAUCACAAAUAAACUCCUUAUUUAAAUUUUNNNNNNNNNNNNNNNNNNNNAACUAAAUAAGUAAAAAAUAAAAAAAAAAUAGUUAGUUUGUUCGUAAUAAGGUUAGUUUCGUUUUUUUUUUUUUUUUUUUUUUGUACAAUGAGGUCACAGCUACUUACAACCAUAUGAUGUGAGUGUCAUAGAUUUCGAGAAUUUUUUUUUUUUAAGUUUGAGCUUGGUCAAUAGAAUAAAUGAUGCCAUCUAAUUUCACAUGCAAUGGUCAAGAUUAAUUGUGAUCAUCUUGUACCAAAGAUAAAUGAUCUCAUUAUAUCUUUUUUUAAAAAACAAUACUCAAGAUUUUGUGACUCACCUCAAGCCAUCAAAUUUGACCUUUAAUAAAUAGAAAUGAUACGAUUUUUAUGUACAAAAAAUAAAUAAUCUUUUAAAAAACAAUCCCAAAACAAAUAUCACAAAUAAACUCCUUAUUUAAAAUUUUUUUAUUAAUUUUUAAUUUUUUAAUAUCCGGAGUAUUCAGAACUCGAACGCGGUAGUUGCCGACAAACCCAUGUGGCCCUUAAACAUACGAUCAACGUAAUUGUCCCGGAGGGGCCUCUCCUUUAUGGUUUGUAGCCGCCACUUGUACUUCCUCUCAAACUGUACGUCCAGCUUAUGCUCCAACGCCUUCUUUUCAAACGUGAUUGGACACCACUUGGACCCCACAUCCACGCCAUGUCCAACACAAGUGGCCCCCUACUCCACCAUGGCUACGAGAAGUGCCGGGUUCCUACUUGCAAAAAGUUUAUAUAGAGACGCGGUUCUAAAUAAUCAAAUUAGAGAGCACCUUAAAAAUUUCACUAGAAAAAAUUGGUUUUGAUGCUCAUGUAUCAUCAAAUUGAACAUCUCGACAUCAAGAUACAUAGAUAUGGAAAAAAAUAAAUCUCAAGUUUUAAAAAUAAUACAUCUUGUAAGAUAUUUUUUAACCAUCAAUUUUCAAGUUUUCGUAGGUAUGCUCAAUCCACACUAUUCUUAAAACCUUAGAUAAAAAUAUAUUUUAAUGCUACCACAAAAAUUUUCAAUAUUAAAACCAUAUUUCCAAACACCAUUAAAACCACAUUUUCCUACACUAUUUGAAAGUGCGCUACUUUGAUUGUAUAAGUACAAACUGAGGCCUUCCCACCUUCUAGAUAGAGAAGCAAAAGGCACGGUGGGGCCAAGGCCUUGGAUUUCAAAUGAGUUGAUAAGGACACCGUGGGCGCGGCCGUUGGCCAAGGCCUCCAAAUUUGCAGGUGAGGUGUUGGAAGCCUCUACUAGUUAGCACUACAACCAACGGUGGGGAUGAUAGUGACCCAUCAAUCUCCCCCAACUUACCAAGAGGGACCCGUUUGUGGGGUAGAGAGAGAGAGAUAUGAGUGCCCGCCGCCGGACAACGGUUAGAGCGAGAAAGUAGUGAUGCAGAGAGCCAACGAACGGCAUCACCACACUUUGAGCAACUUCAGUUGCCCUUGAGCAAGAGAGAUGACUUGCUUUAGAAAUUUGGGAAGUGUAGCAUACACCAAUUGGGAGAGUGGUAUAUCGGAACAUCCUCCGGUUGUAUUUGUAUCGAUACUACACAAUUAUCAUGCAUUAGAAGAAUGUGGUGGAUGGUACACCAUAGGGGCAUCUAUGAUGCAUGUUUUCCAAUAGGAACAAGUAGUGCUAUGGUUCCAAAACUUGGCUAAGGCAACUCAGAUUUGGUCGAGUAACUCAGCUCCACCUUUUGAGGGAGGUGAGUUUUAGCCAAGUAGGUUGUACAACAUGUUUUUAAAUUUUAAAUUACGUUAAUUUUAUUUUAGAUGUGCUUGAAUGGCUUAUUCACUUUUUAAAGAUAUCAUUUUUUAGUAGUUCCGAAAAAAAAAAUUUUAAAAAAAAGACAUCAUUUUCGAAUAGUUCAUGCUAACCAAUACACCCACUUGCAAGUUUCUAUAUAGUAAUGGCACUCAUAAUAUAUAUAAUAACCAUUUUUUAUUUUUUUAUUUUUUAUUUUUUUUAUUUUAUUUGAAAGUCAUCAUUUUGGAAUAGUUCAUACGAUCCAACACACCCGCUUCCAAGUUCAUGUAUAGUAAUGGUGCUCAUAAUAUAUAUNNNNNNNNNNNNNNNNNNNNNNNNNNNNNNNNNNNNNNNNNNNNNNNNNNNNNNNNNNNNNNNNNNNNNNNNNNNNNNNNNNNNNNNNNNNNNNNNNNNNNNNNNNNNNNNNNNNNNNNNNNNNNNNNNNNNNNNNNNNNNNNNNNNNNNNNNNNNNNNNNNNNNNNNNNNNNNNNNNNNNNNNNNNNNNNNNNNNNNNNNNNNNNNNNNNNNNNNNNNNNNNNNNNNNNNNNNNNNNNNNNNNNNNNNNNNNNNNNNNNNNNNNNNNNNNNNNNNNNNNNNNNNNNNNNNNNNNNNNNNNNNNAAAAGAGCUGGACUCGGACGAGUUACUCGAACUCACCGGACUAAAUCGCCUCCACCAGAUCCCAAGUACCUUGGCCAAGUCAAUUUUUUAAACACUGAAUAGUGUUUAAAACAUAGCAAUCCGGACUACAUAAUCAUCAUGCAUUAGAAGAAAUGAGAUAUAUAGUACAUCAUAGGGCAUAUAUGAUGCUUGUUUUCCAAUAGGGGCAAGUAGUGCUUAAAAAUGAGCAAUUCAGGUCAGAACUUGGAACCAGUGGGAGGGCAACAGUUCUAGGAAGACCUAGAAUUGUCGGAUUCCCAAUUGUUCUUAUUUUUUAUUUUUAAAAAGUAAUUUACCUUAAUAGAUCUCACCGAAUUGGUCCAUCGACAACAUAUUGUUGAUCCAAAUCAGUCAAGCCAAUGAUAGGUUCAAUAGGGGGAUCGGUUUUCUUGAACACUCAGGACAAAAGAGAUGCCUGUAUUUAGAAAUUUGGAAAGUGUAACAUACACCAAAUCUAUGGCUUCUUAAUUUGGAAACUGUAUUGUAUAAGCAUAGACCAAGUACCACGAGGUGUAUCAUGCACCACACUGGUAUCUUCAAUACAUCUUUUUGCUAGAUAACAGGGACUAAAUCAAUAUAUUGAUGGUUGUCAAUCUCCAUGAUGGACAAGCAAUGGGUGUUAGCUAUAGUUGAGAUGUUGAAACGCUCCAACACAUUUUCAACAUACAUUUUUUGAGUUACCUAGAGUUUACCUGCACUUUUAUCUCUAUGAAUCUCCAUACCAAGGAACCUAUUAGCGGCCCCUAGAUCCUUUAUAUCAAACUCAGAACUGAACAUAGACUUGAGAGAGGUUAUGUCAUAUGCAUUCUUAGCAACGAUGAGCAUGUCAUCAACAUAAAGCAUCAAGAGAAUAAGUGAAUAAUUAUCAAGAAUUUUAAAAUAAACACAACAAUCAUACUCACUUAUUGAAUAGCCAAUCCGUACCAUGAAAGAGUCAAAGCGCUUGUACCAUGCCUAGGAGAUUGCUUAAGAUCAUAAAGCGAUCUCUUGAGCAAUCAAACUUGAUCUUCAUUUUCAUGCACCUUGAAGCUUUCAAGUUGCUCUAUAAAGAUUUGUUCCUUCAGAUCACUAUGAAGAAAUGUUGUCUUCAUAUCAAGCUACUCUAGCUCCAAAUCAAACAUGACUACUAAAGCAAAUAAUAGCCUUAUUGAAGUGUGUUUGACAAUCAGAGAGAAUAUUUCAUUUUAGUUCACUCCCUCAUUCUGAGCGUAGCCUUUUGCUACGAGCCUAGCCUUGAAUCUCUCACAUUCAUUUUCUAUUGUUACCUCUUUCUUCCGAAAGAUCCACUUGCAUUCAAUCACUUUCCUUUACUUGGGCCUCUUGACAAGCUCCUAAGUCAUAUUCUUGUUUAGAGACUUCAUCUCCUCCAUCAUGGUUGUCAUCCAUUUAUCAUUUUGUACAUCACUUAGAGCAUCAUCGAAGGAGUCGAUUUCCCCAAUACCAACUGUUAGAGCAAAAUCUACUAUGUCCUCAAAGGCGUAUCUCACAAGGGCUUUGUGAACACGCUUCUUUCUGCCUUUUGCCAGACUUUAGGGUUCCCCAUGCGAUUGUUGCUAUCUGGUAUGCUGCUAGAUGAUUCUUCCUUUUCUGGUAUUUCAUAUUCUCCUAGCUCCACCUAGAUUGUCGAUCUUUUUCCAUCACUUUCAUCUACUUGCACUUUGUCAUCUUGCAAGUUGAUUGACUUCAUCAUGUGAGAUUCAUCAAACAUAACAUUCCUGCUAAGCUGAACCUUAUAUGAAGUAGUAUCCCAAAGCUUGAAUCCCUUCAGUCCUUUCUCAAAACCGAGAAAGAUGCACUACUUAGACUUAGAGUCUAUUUUGGAAUGUUGCCCACUCUGCACAUGGACAUAGGCUGGACAUCUGAAGAUUCUCAACAUAGAAUAAUCUACUGGCGUUCUUGUCCACACCUCCUCCUGAAUAUUGCAAUCAAUCGCAGUAAAUGGUGAUCUGUUAACGAUGAAACAUGCCAUGUUAACUGCUUCUGCCCAGAAACUCUUCAAAUCUGCAUUCAAUCUCAUUCUGCAAGCUCUUUCCAGAAGAGUCUUGUUCAUCCUCUCAGCCACACCAUUUAUCUGAGGAGUUUUUAGUGUAGUAAAGUGAUGUACAAUCCCCUCUUCUUUACAAAAUUCUUGAAAUUCUCUAGACUUGUACUCCCUUCCAUUAUCUGAUCUUAAGCAUUUCAGUUUCUUUCAUGUCUUCUUUUCUACUUCUGCUUUCCAUUGUUUAAACUUUGUGAAUGCUUCACUUAUGUAUUUCAUAAAGUAGACCCAGACCUUUCUUGAGUAAUCGUCAAUAAAAGUAAUGAAUUAUUCUUCCCCACCCUUGGAUUUGAUUGAUGAAGGCCCCCAUACAUCAGUGUGUACAUAGUCUAAUAUAUCCUUACUUGUAUGAAUUGCAGUUCUGAAUCUAAUCUUGCACUGUUUGUCGAAAACACAGUAUUUACAGAAAUCUAGUUUACAGGCUCUGACACCCUUCAACAAUUUUCUUCUACGAAGUUUCAUCAUACCUCAUUCACUCAUAUGUCCUAAACGCAUGUGCCACAAUUUUGUGUCAUUUGUGCUGGACUCUAUAUCUGUGGUUACAGAAGCUUUAUCGGUAACUGUAUUCCCUAUCAAAUUGUAUAGGUUCCCAGUCAUCUGACCUUUCAUGAUAACCAUAGAUCCCUUACUAACUUAGAGGACUCCACCUGUUGCUGUAUAGUUGCAACCAUUCGAGUCAAGGGCCCCUAAGGAUAUUAAGUUUUUCUUUAAUUAUGGGACAUGUCUCACAUCUGAUAAGAUUCGUACUAUCCCAUCAAACAUCUUGAUUUUGAUAGUUCAUAUUCUAAUGGUCUUGCAUACCGCAUCAUUCACCAAUAGAACAGAUCCCCCACUCUAUGAUUUGUAGGUUUCGAACCAGUUUUUAUUUUGACACAUAUGAAAAGAACAUCCAGAAUCCAAAAUCCAAGAAUCAGUAACUUGAUUCUUACCUGAAGAUAUAGAGAGAAGAUCUCCAUCAUCUUUGUCAGAGCUAUCAGUCACGCUACCUUCAUCAAAUGCUUUUCCUGUUUCUGUCAUCUUUAUAUCCUCAUUUCUUUUCAGGCAGUCUCUCUUCAUAUGACCUUCCUUUUUGUAGCCAUAGCAAAUAAAUUUGCCAUUCCUUUUCGAUUUUGACCGACUUCUGCUUCCAGGCCUCUUUUGAUUUGAUCUGCUCCUUUCAUGAUGCUCUUUGUGUUUUCCAAAUAAACCUUCUCAUUGAGAUUUAAUACUAUUAGUCUUCUUCCUUGUCUCGUUUGAUAUAAGAGUAGCAGUCACUUCGUCCGUCUCAAGAGUCUUCUUCCCGUAUAGUAGAGUCGUAAUCAGGUGAUCGUAUGAUCUUAGAAGUGAAGCCAACAGAAGUAGGGCCUUGCCUUCAUCCUUGAUUUCGACCUCAAGGCUUGCUAACUUACUUACGAUCUGGUCGAACUCGUUGAGAUGUUCAAGCAAAUCCGCGUCUUCUUCCAUCUGAAGAUAAUACAACUGCUUCUUCAAGAACAACUUGUUUGUCAGCGAUUUCGUCAUGUAGAUACUCUCGAGUUUUGUCCAAACCUCCGGAGCAGUUUCGAGGUCCACCACAUGACGCAAUGAGUCAUCUGAUAGAUUCAGACGAACCACGCUUACCGCCAUUUCUUUCAUCUCUAGCCACUAUUCAUCAUCUAUCUUUGUUGGUUUCUUCGAGUUUCUUAACAAAGCCUUAGCCAGACCUUGCUGUAUCAUAAGAUCAUUCAUCAUUCGUCGCCAAAGAGUGAAGUUGUUCUUUCCAUUGGACCUCUCAAUGUCAUACUUGGCGCUUGAGCGUUUUCCUAUCAUCGUGGUAGAAAACCCCAGAACUCGGAAUAACCUUGUAGCCUCUAAUACCAAUUUGUAGUAAAGAAAAACAAUCCACGAAAAAAAGAAAGAAGAAACAAACACAAAAGAAAGAGACAACCAACCACAACACAAAGAUAUACAUGGUUCGGCAACAUGCCUACCUCCACGGGAGAUGAGAGCUUCUUUACUAGCAAUGGAGAAUAGGGUUAUAAUAGCUCUCUUCCUCACACCUCUCUAUUUCUCUAAUUACAAAGAGAUCUGCGCUUGUCCCUUAACCCUAAAAAAACCUCAUCGCAACAAAUAUAUAUCCAGUCCCAGAUAUAUGGUAUAAAUUAUCGAAAUACCCUUGUAGAGAUAUAUAUCAAGUCCCAGCCCUCCGGGCUUUUAACGGCCCUCUAGAGUUGUCCUUUUGAUUCUACCUUGACAGAUCUAUUUCCUCAUAAUACAAGACAUCAAUCCUCAACAUGCAUAUACUACAUGAUUGGGACAUGCACGCAAUGAUGCAUAUGGCAAUUAGGUCGGAUCCACCUGAUAUGGGUUCGGGUCUGGACCCAAUUAGUGCAUUGACAGGUCUGACACUGAACUCGACCAAUGUUAGGUCCUGAUCGAGGUCCAUCUUGGACCAUAAUGGAUUGGGAACCAAUAUGUGUGUGUGUGUGAAAGUUCACUAUAAGGAUGACCUUAAAAUGUAGAAUUAAAGUGUACCUCUAAAAUCCUUAAGAAAAGGUUGUUUUGAUGUCGGAAAACAUCAAAUUGAUAAUCUUGACAUCAAGAUUUAUAGAUAGGGGAAAAAAAAGAGAUUUAAAGGUUAAUAAAUAGCACAUCUUACAACAAAUUAUCUGGAUCAUCUAAUUUCAAUAUUUUCAUGUGUUUACAGUUCCGCUUGAUUUGAACCUUUUUAAGAGAUAAAAAUAGAUUCUCGCACCAUCUUACCCUUCAUUUAUAGUUGGUGAGAGCCUAUUAGACCGAUCACCCUCCUCUCAACAGUGCCUAAACUUAUACCUUACUCCUUAUUUGUUUCGCUCCAAUUAGGCCAAAUGCCUUGAAUGGAGCAGACUUUAAGCUCUUUGCCAAGCCGGGAUGUUGAAUAAAGAGAAAUGGGAGUCAGGUCUAUAGACCUUCCAGUCUAGGGAGUGCUAUAAUUAACGAGACGAUUUUGAUUGCUACACGGAGGUUUUGUGGGAGUCAUAAAAUAAGCAAGCAAAUAGGUCUAAUAUAUUCCAUUGAAGAAAAUGUUCUUUCAAUGGUGGUAAAUACAUUGAAUCGAUGAGGGGAUACAUAAGGGUGACGAAAGAGGUUUGUUAAAGGUGAGUGUGCCAUGUUCCUCCACUCAACAUGUACAACAUGUAUCACUCUCUUUGAGCAAUUGGGUUGUUUCAUUUUUUUAAGAGAUGUUACCAUGGCUGAUCCACAUUGCUUUCCCAUCUUGAACUAUUAUCUUGCCUUCCAGCCCUAGAUGGCGGUAAAUACCCUCACUGUUUCUAUGUUGCUAGACUAAAAACCUCGAGGAUGGCAUGUCAACGAUGACUCUCUGGUGGUAUUUACGAAUACCAAAGCUUAUUAUGCCAAUAAAGUAAGAUAAUGACUUUGAUCUAAAUGCUAGGUAGCCUAAGCUUCUCGCAACUGAGAGCUAGAAGAAGCCCUUUGUAUGUAAAAGAUGGUUUAGAACUAAGGACCUUUAAAAACCUGAUAAAUUAUCUCACUUAGGAUAAUGAGAGGCGACAAAGUGGGUAUAGAGGGUUGUUAAUGAUUGAUGUUUUGUAUUAUGAGGAAAUAGAUCUGUCAAGGUAUAGUAAAAAAGACAACUCCAGAGGGCCAUUAAAAGCCGGGAGGGUGGAAGAGCCGAAGGAUUCGAUAUAUCUUGGACGUGAUAUAUAUCCGUACAAGGGUAUUUCAGUAAUUUAUAUGAGACUCUAUAUAUUGUAGCGAGAGGGUUCUUUUUAGGGUUAAGAGAAAACACAGAUUUCUUUUUAAUUAGAGAGAACAAAGAGGCUGAAGAAGAGAACGAUUGUAACCCUAUUCUUUAGUACCAGUAAAUAAGCUAUCAUCUCCCGUGGACGUAAACACCUAGCCGAACCACAUAUAUCUUUGCAUUGUAGUUGGUUGUCUCUUUCUUUUGUGUUUGUUUCUUCUUUCUAUUCUCGUGGAUUGCUUUUCGUUUUCACAAGGGUUUCCCCUAUGUCAAGGUGGUAUAACGAUAGGCUUAUGGAAUGACUCAAAGAAAGUGGCAUAGCAUAAGUAACAGGGAUAAGGCAACUGAGUCAGAAAGAUAGAGGCUGAGUUUAAGUAGAACUGAAAGUGGCCACUCAUGGCUUGCUCCAUGCUUAUGUACUUGACUUGUUGGGUCUUGAUUCUCCCCGAAAAGGAAGCACCUUAGGGACAAAUUGGAGUGGAGAGGCUACCUCUCCCUGAGGCAAGAGUAACUUGGGCCAAACAAAUAUUGAAAAAAGAAAGAAAUUGGUUGAAUUUUAAUCCAGCAUCUUGAAUGACUACCGAAACCAUAUAGCGUGUAAGAACAUUGAGAGGGAAAAAUUGACUAGCCGAUGUUGAGAAGAUUGAACCAUAUCUGUGAACACCUACUCAUAUUCAAAAGGCACUGCUUCAAUUCAAGUGCAAAGUGUUAUAUAAUAUGGAAGUUCUUGGUAGGUGGGCCCACCGGUGAUUCAUAAGGCGAGUAGGCCCCCAACAUCAGAGUUUCUAAAGGCGAACAACUCCCUCAGUCUAAAUCAUCAUUUGCUCUUGCUGGCUAGUAAUACACAGGAACAUGGCGAUUUCCCAUAUGGGUAAAGUUGUUUCAUGAAGUGCUAAGAAUUGUGUUUUAUUUUCGAUCGCACAAGGGGGUUUAGCUAGGACCAAGCAUUUCCUGUCUAGGUGACCAGCCUUUACUCACUACUGCUCUAAGCUUUUUUUAGCCUGAAGGUAAGAGGGCAAAGUAGCUAGCUUUUUUGCCAUUACUCGAAUUGCCCCACCCUCUACCCAUAUUCGAUGCAGGAGCCGUGUCUCAUCAGGAUACAGGAUAACCCGCGUUCACGUGGUCCCUGUUAAAAAAGGGUCCAAAUGGAGGUCCUUUUCGGGUAGCUCCUAUAUAUUCUACAAGAAGGCUUACGUUUUUCUUCUAUCGGGCGCAUGAUCAUAAUACCUGCCCUUGUUUUUCUUCUCUACGCAAUGGCAAUGCAAUUCUCCAGAGAGUGAGUUGUUGAUCACAAUACCUGCCCUUGUUUGUCAUGCCAGUUGACUGAACCUUUGUCAAAAGCCUUGGUGGGCGACAAGCCCCAGCCCAAAAAUUACACCAGAAAAUAAAAUAAAAAAUUAAAAUUGUAAUUAUACUUCUAAAAAACCAUAGUCGUAUAGUAAUCUAAUGCAAUCAUACUUCUAAAAAACCAUAUUUGUAGCAAUUGAAUUAUCCCAAAAAUUGCACAUAACCUAUCUUCAUCCCAAUAGUCUAUCUCAAAAAAAAAUUGAAUUUGUAUCAUAGAUAUGGUUAAAAUGAGUUCCCUCCAACAAUGAAUCUAGACUGUCCAUUUGGUCAAAUUCAAGAUCUAGGCAUUUACGAACUCAAAACCAUUUUUUUCUUCUUCAACAUUGUUCAUCUAAUAAUAACAAAGCUAUCCAAAAAUUUUGAAAGAGAAAAAAAAAUCCUUCCAAGCCCUAGACCUAAGCACCUUAACAAAAUGGACGGCUUAUAAUGCUUGGGCUAAAAUAACACUUUCUAGGGCACAUUUUGAAAUUUUAUUUUUUUGUGAUUGUUCAAUAGAAUGACAAGAGUCAUUAUUUAAGAAUUGGGAUCAAACAAAUAACACUAACAUGGUUUUUGAAGGUUGUUACAUUAUAUUACUAUACAACCUUUGCAUAAAGUCAUUACCCCUAUAUAUAUAUAUAUAUAUAUAAGGGUAUGAUUUGUAUAGAGCCGAGGCUCUAAACAAUAAAAUCAGAGCCCACCUUCAAAUUGUGUCGGAGAAUGUGGUUUCUAUAUUGGAAAUCUUUGUGAUAGCUUUAAAUAUAUUUUCAUCUUAAUUAUAAAAUUUAAAGCUUAAAAAAGUGUAGAUUGAGUAAAUGUAUGAAAGCUUGAAAAUCUUAAAAAUUGACAGUCCAAAAUGUGUUACAAGAUGCAUUAUUUCCAAAACUUGAAAAAAAAAAAUUUUCCUCAUGUCGAUGCAUCUUGAUAUCGAGAUGAUCAAUUUGAGGAUAUUUGGGCAUCAAAACAACAUCUUCUAGUGAAUUUUUUGAAUUGCGCUUUAAUUUAAUUGUUCAAAACCUCGACUCUAUAUAAACUUUUUCCUAUAUAUAAUAUUCGAUAAAAUAUUACGCACAAAUCAAGGAAAUUUAAAUAUUAUAGUAUCCUCAAUCCAAUGAGCAGGAGCGAACAACAUGACUUAAGUGCUAUACGCUGUAGCAAAAUAGAUGAGGGGCAGUCGUGGAGAGGCGAUUUGAAGAGCUAAGUUUGAGAUAGCCUUGGUUCCGAUAGAGCCGGCCAUGAGCUCAGGCUUUGGGUUGCGGCUGUGAUUGCAGUGCUUAAGGCAAACAGCUGAGCCCCGUGCUAAGUUCCAUUUGAUAAUAGGGCUGUCGAUCUCUCCCUAUGCAUUAGUGUUCAUAAAAUCGAACCGAAACGAUUAACCGGACAUGGACCCGAUUAGGUCGGUUAGCAUCUAAUGUAGGCCUAUUGGGUCGCGGUCGACACGCUCCUCGACGGACGUCAGGGAUUUAAUAAGUUCUUGACGGUUAUUGAGUCCUCGUAAUGGACGAUAGAGAUUAACAAAAAGUUCUUGAUACAAAUGUUGGAUACCCAUUCAUCAUAGUGUACAAGGUACUUUGCAGAAACACGUGCAGUGGGAACACGUGACUGGAUAUAACUCACACUAGUGGUGUGUCAUUUGCUUGUUCAGCGUUUAACCAUUUGGAUAUUUAGAUGGAAAGAAGAACUCCAAUCUUUUAAGGAGGUAAUCAUUCUCCACCAUCCAUCAUGUAUCUAUAGUUGUGACGUAAAUGUUACCAUCAGUGUAAGGAAAUAUCGGACGGUUCAAAUUCUAACCGCCCAAUUAAACCCGGUUAAAUUGGAGUCGACCACCGGUCGGUUCUGGUUUUGGUCAGUUUUAGUGAACCAGUGGGGUAUUUUAACAAAAAAAAAAAGAACAAGUAUAUAAAAUCCCAAGAAAUAAGGGAUUUUGUUUGUAAUACAUUUUUUAAUGUUUUUCAUCAUUUUAGCAAAGAUUGAAAAUUAUUUUUGGCCAUUAAUACUUAUUUUUACAUUUUUCAUCUUUUUAAAAAAUACCCUUGGGUACAAAUCCAUUCUUUAAAAUUCAUUUUCAUUAACUUUCAACUUCAUUUGGAUGUGUUUGUUUAAUCAUGUUUUAAAUAUAUUUUUCAUAAUUUACUAGAUUUUUUUUGUAUUUAUUUUAUUUUUUAAAUACUUUUUUGACCGUCUUGGACUUGCUUGGUUAGGCCGUUUGACACUGCCGAUUUACCGGUUAAGCUGGUUAAACUGCUUGCUUCCAGCCUCAUGUUCGGUUAACUAUUCCGAAUGAUUUCUACACUGGUUACCAUAUUAAGAUACACAAGUGCUCUAGAGUUGCCAUAUACCGUACAGAAGCGGUGUCCGUGGUCUCGAAUGGUGUAUGGCAUAUAAUAUUAUUAUGGAAAGCUUUCUAUGUUCUCCCGACAAGAUAGAAGUUCUAUCCUCCCUCUUAUCCAACCGUCUAUUUUUGAAUGGAGGGCUAAGAUUGCCCCAAUCACAAUGUCACGUCUUUACACUAUUUUUUUUUUAAUUUUUUUUUGUAAACUAUUUUGAUACCAAAUUUUGGACAUCAAUUCAUCUAUUAAACUCGUACUAAGGAAAACUAUAUAUAUAAAAAAAUAUUUUCAAUAAAAUAAAAUGACCAAAAUACCUUUGAAAGUUUCAAGGGGUAUUUUGGUCAUUAUGUUUUAUCAAAAAAUUAUUGUUAAUAUUUUUAUAGGUGCGCCCCAAUGAGACGAUGGCAGGUACCAAAUUUCAUAUUCACAAAAAUUAUAUUAAAAGAAAUAAAAAUAAAAUACUUUAAGACGUCAAAUCUAAGAUCAAACGAUCAGUAACUCCCUUCACAAAAACUUGAAUGGCCGGAUGGUAAGGGAGGAUAGGAGGGAGAACAUAGAAAGCCUUCCUUGUUAUCAUAUUUUUAGUUCUUUAACUCUUGUUUAGAUCGGGAGAUGGACUCAAAACUGAAAUUAAGGCGAGAGCAAUGGGAAGGGAGGAAAGCGGUAUCGGCACGUGCGGAUGAUGGGUGGGUGGGCCCGUGUUCUGCUCCCUGGCUCUUUGAUUGGCUGCCGCAUAAGAAAAGUGUGACAUCAAAAGGCAAAGAGGCAGUUCGGACCGAAACUUACCCGUCUCCUCUUGUUGCCUUGUGGGAGGUGGGGACCACCUCGCAGUCGACACGUGUCAAUCGGGGCUCAUCUGUGUGGAAUAACACGCGUCGCGUGAUUGGCGGUGGGAAGAGAGAGAGGGGGUGGGGAGUGCUGAAUUCCGUUUAAAAGCACCGCCCGCACCCUUUCUCCAACAUUUCAAACACCUCUCUCUCUCUAACUCUCACCGUUUCCCUCUCUCUCUCUCUACUAAAGCUCAAGCCCUCUAUAUCUAUCGCCACUAUUUUAAAACUUUGAUAUCUAUCCAGCAGCCUCUCUCUCUCUCUCACUAGGAAGUUCUCUCUCUCUCUCUCUAACAUUCAACUUUGCUCUGUCUUAAAUCAAACAUUAGGCUCCUUCUCUCCCUCUAACAAAUACCUCCUCUCGUCUCUCUCUCUCUCUACUACUACUACUUACGUUCGUCCGUUAACUUACUAACAACACACGACGUCCUCCUCCCUCCCUACCUAACUAACUACCUCUCUCUCUCUCUCUCUCUCUCUCUCUCUCUCUCUAAUCUUGUAGAGAUGGAGAGCACGGACUCGUCUUCGAAUUCGCAGCAACCCCAGCUUCCUC
rnacentral:lncRNA from 1 species